rnacentral:miRNA from 1 species
GAUAGUACCAAAUGCUUUAUGCUA